UCGAGUUCACAAAAUCUAGAGAGCUUUCUUUCUCGCCUGCAAACGAAGAUGGCCGAGUAUGAGAGCCCGUGGUGGACCGCCACCAAAAAACCCGACGAAUCCGCUCUGAGUCAACUUAUAGCAACCGAGAACAACUCGCGCGAUGUCAACUGCCACCACCACUGACUCAUCGGCUCCACACAUUCUCUGACAAUUGAAGUUGAAUAUGAAGAAGGUUUUGACACAUUUAGCCCUGUUGGACUCUCAAGUUUGAUGUGUGUUCUAAAAAUGGGCCUAGGUGGCGCCAAGGUGCUGGACGGCGGAGCUCCGACCCGAUUUAGACCAAAACGUUCAAUUAGGCGGGGAGGACUUAGGCGGCCGCCAAGGCGCUCACUAGGCGCCUGAGGCGGGCUAGGUGGCGGUCUAGGCGGUUUGAAUCUCGCUGCAAUUUUUGCUACCGGAUCUACAAUUUCCGAUCUCGUACAUAGCAGCAGAGCUCCGGCGAAUUUCUACGUCUUUGUGAAGAUGAGGGAAGAGAGAGAGAGAGUAUUAAACAUUUCAAUCUGUGGUGGCGCAAGUUGGAUUUGAGAUCCAAUUUUGAGGUUCUGAAAGUGAAAGGCCGAAGAAGAAGAACGAAGAUGAGGCAUAAGGGAAGAGAGCGCCAAGAGAGAGAGAGAUAGAGAACGAGAGAAAGAGACUAAAAGAUUAGGUUCUGAAAGGGUAAAGAAGAAGAAACGAAAUUCAAAAGCUGGUGAUGGGUUCUUAGGUGAUGUGAAAGAGUCAGAUGGUAAGGGUUCUUGGGUGAUGUGAAAGAGUGGUUUUAAUUAUGAAACCAUCCACUCAUCAGAUGGUUUUAAAUAUGAAACCACCCACUUGCGUGGGUUUUUUAUAGUUUUAAAAGUUUGGGAUGUAUAUUAUAUGUAUAUAAAUGUUAUAUAAAUUAUAAAUUAUAAAUCAUUUAGAUAAUAUUUUGUUUUUUUUUUCCUAGGCAAGCAUAUUAGAUAUGUACAUAAAACAUUCACAUAUGUAUGUUCUUCUAUAAGAAAUAACAUAUUAUUCAAUAAUUAUUUA